ACUUAAAGAGGACGGCAGAUCAAGAGCAUCUCAUCCUCCGGCUGCUGAGUCAUCCUGCUCUGGCAGUUAUUUAAACAGAAGGCUCCAGGAGACAUACAAUCAACACUCCACUCAGACAAUGCCCAGACCUCCAGAAACCAUGUGUCAAGCUCGGAUUGCCUUAGACAGGUGCAAUUUAAGAACAGCUUUCAUCCUCUUUUCUCUCAUAUUGUCACACUAUGUGUUCUGACUUCUGGCUCCUUUCCUCACAAGAAGCUCACCCAGCUGGAACUCUUAUGGGACCUUGGCACCAGAGACCACAAAUUCCUCUUUGAAGUUUUCUAACAGCAACAAUGGUAUUUCUGACUUGGCUUUCUUGUAUUUCUCUCACGUUAACAAAAUUGGUUCAGCAUCUACCAUGGGCUACAUGCUGAGCUACAGGUAAGGUUUGGCUAAAGGAUGAAUAAGAACCCCUCCUUGUCUUCAGGAGUUUGUCUAGCAGAGGAGUCUGUCAUGUAAUCAGGAAACUCCAGUACACAACGUGAUAGCUCUAAGACAGGUAUAUACAAGAUGAUGUUCUGGACCUUAACUGUUUGGGGAGUACUACUGCCUUUGUCUAAAAGCCAUCACCCUUUUUAUAUGCCAUUUGGGAGGAACUGGGGGGACGUGGGAGGCUUCAAAGGGUUAUGGGAGGAUGGACAUUUUAAAAGGGCUUUUCUUUUCUUUUUUUUUUUUUGAGACAGAGUUUCGCUCUGUCGCCCAGGCUGGAGUGCAGUGGCGCGCGAUCUCGGUUCACUGCAAGCUCCACCUCCCGGGUUCACGCCAUUCUCCUGCCUCAGCCUCCUGAGUAGCUGGGACUACAGGCGCCCGCCACCACACCCAGGUAAUUUUUUGCAUUUUUAGUAGAGACGGGGUUUCACCGUGUUAGCCAGGAUGGUCUCGUUCUCCUGACCUCAUGAUUCACCCGCCUUGGCCUUCCAAAAUGCUGGGAUUACAGGCGUGAGCCACUGUGCCCUGCCAAAGGCCUUUUCAAAUCUAACGAUGUACUCACAUUUCCACCUGUCUGCCAGCCCUUGUCCAGUUUGACCUGGGCACUCACUGCUGCUCUGGUGGUGAGUACUGCUGAUGGUUCUUUUCCCUGCCCAUCCUUGAGGUGCUCGCUUCAAUAUGUCAAAUGAGGACUCUCAUUACAUUUGGCUGUCAUACAUCAGCCACAACUGUCCUGCCCAGAAGAGCUGGCCUUGGCUUUAAAGCCUACAUCCUGGCUGACCUUCUUUACUGCUUUAUUAAGGAAUCCAACUUGCUGUUUGCUAUCACAUGUGCUAUACAUGCUGUUGAUGAAACUGCUAAAGGGGCUGAAUGUGACUGACGUCUUUGGAAGGAUGAGACUUAGCGUGCCUGUACAGUUGUGUCCAAAUGCUGUCCUCAUCUCCCAAUGAAAAGGUAUUGUAAAUAAAGAGAAAGAUCAGAGGCUUAUUUUAAACACUAAAUAUGAGCUAGGAGCUGUCCUAGACACUAUGUAAAAGUUUUAUUUAGUUCUCACUGUAAUGUUGGCCUUAUGUUAGCAUCCCAUUUUUCAGACUGAGGAAAUUAUGGCUCAGAGAGGUUAAGAGACUUAUUGAAGGUCACACAGCUCCACAAACUUUGGUGUAGAUUGAACGUGUACAUGGGUCUAUGUGACUUUGAAUCUUGCAUUCUUUACAUUAUUGGAAUAUUUCACAGAAGGAAAAUGACAUAUUAACAUGGCAAUAAGAUUUCUGGUUCCAGUCUGGUUACUGGUCUUCCAAGAGUGUUAUAGGAUGUAUAGCCUGAGCUCUGAAGCUUUGUUCUGAAGCAUGCUAUCAAUAUGAACAAAUUGGUAUGGAAGGAAGCCACAAAUUAUAUACUAAAAUCUAGUUCAUCAGAGGAAAAUAUAGUUAAAUACAUUUACAUUCCCAGAACUGUUAAUAUUGAAGAAUAAAACACACAGUGGGAAAGAGACGAAGAGAAAAUACGCCUGUUUUUAUGACUUGUUGAUAUCUACAGGGUUUUUCCUUAAGCCUCACAACAAUUUACAGCAUUGCCAGCAGCAUUCAGUACAUUCAGAACAGGAUAAUUUCACCCGCAGCUGAACUAGGGCCAUGCCUGGGACAGACAGAGAAUGGCCUUCCAGCAGACAUGCCAAGAAGCAAGCCAGGGUCAGUGAGUGAAGAGGAGGGCAGGCCCAUUUGAAGCAACACAGUUUAUAUACAUGAAAAGAAAGAAGGAGAGAAGGAAGAAAGGAGGGCGGAAGGAAAGGAAGAAGGGAGAGAAGAAGAGAAGAAAGAAGCAGAGAAAGGAAGAGAAAAGAAAUUACGGCCAGUGCGGUGGCUCACGCCUGUAAUCCUAGCACUUUGGGAGGCCUAAGCGGGCUGAUCACCUGAGGUCAGGAGUUCGUAAGCCAGCCUGGCCAACAUGGUGAAACCCUAUCUCUACUAAAAAUACAAAAAUCAGCAGGGCAUGGUGGUGCGUGCCUGUAAUCCCAGCUACCUGGGAGGCUGAGGUAGGAGAAUCGCUGGAACCCGAGAGGCGGAGGCUGCAGUGAGUUGAGAUCAUGUCACUGCACUCCAGGCUGGGCAACAGAGUGAGACUCUGUCUCAGAAAAAAAAAAAAAGAAAGAAAGAAAGAAAGAAAGUUACCAUUAGUUUUUUGUUGUAUUUGCAAGCAAAGACAAAAGCACCAAGGUACUUGUUUCCUUCUGUAAUUAGAGUUUCAAAUAGACUAAAAGUUUCUGCUCUUAGGUGGGUCUAGAGACUCUCCAGUACCUCAGGACCUCAGGACACAUGGGGUCUCUUGGUUGUUUUCUUUUCAUUGUUGUUGUUUAUUUUAUUUUUGUUUUUAUUUUUUAACUUUAAAACAAUUUUUUGUAGAUGAAUAUGCUUACAUAUGUUUGGGGGUUUUUUUGAGACAGGGUCUUGCUCUGUUGCCCAGGCUGGAGAGCGGUGGUUUAACCACAGCUCACUGCAGCCUCGACCUCCCAAGGUAGGGACUGCAGGUGUGUACACUGGGGUGCACCACCACACCCAGCUAAUUUUUAAAUUUUUUUUUGUAGAUAUUGUCUCACUCUGUUGGCCAGACUGGUCUUGAAAUCCUGGGCUCGAGCAAUUCUCCUGCCUCGGCCUCGUAACGCGUUAGGAUUACAAGCGUGAACACCGCACCUGGCCAGCAUGUGGUCUCUUAACCAGAGGAGGCCUCUUCUGAACUAGGUAGAGGUCCUGAGAAUUGAUUCUGAGAGUAAAAGGCUCUUUGUUCUCCUCAGAGUAGAUUAGAAUCCCUAAUGAUAGAGCAUCUAUUAUUCCUCUAGUGGUCCAUGCCCAACAGAUUCAUCCAAGAAUAGAUGAAGAUCUUUGUAAUGUUGUGCAAGUAAUCUAAUCACCCCACAGAAGAGCUGUGACUUAAAUUAUCCCAGAGUCGGCCCACCUGUUUUCAUAAAGAUCAAUGUAACUUGUAAAUUUCUUCAGUUCUCCUCACCUAUCAUCAUUUGACUAACAAAACCCAGAAAACUAGGCUAGUUAUGGUGGCCUAUGCAUAUAAUCCCAACUCUUUGAGAGGCCAGGGUGGGUGGAUUGCUUGAGUCCAGGAAUUCGAGACCAGCCUGGGCAACAAAGGGAGACCCUGCCUAUAUCCCAGCUAUGCAGGAGGCGAGGCCAGAGGAUUGCCUGAGCCUCAGAGGUUGAGGCUGUAGUGAGCCAUGAUUGCCCCACUACACUCCAGCCUGGAUGACAGAGUGAGACCCUGCCUUAAAAAUAAUAAUAAUAGUAAUAAUAUUUCAUAAAGAUACAGGAAACUAGAUUAUAAUUGACAUUUUCAAAGUGAAAUACUGUCUAGAAUGGUGCUUGGCCAACAGUAAGCUUUUUGUAAGUGGAAGUCAUUACUACUACUAUUUCUUUCAUUAUUAUUACCAUUACUACUUUUUUUUACAAAAAAAAAACCCUGGACAACACACUGAAACCAUUACUACUUCUACUACUAUAACUUAGGUUGCACCUGAUAGAGCCAGCAAUUUUUCCAAGGUAUGACAAUGGCCAUAUGUUUAAUGAUAUAAUUCUAUGGCUCAGUGUAUCUCAGCCUUUUUAAACCCUGCUCUUCUUUUGACAAUUGUAAAAAUCUUAAACUGACCUCCAGUUGAAAUCCUCUGUCAAGAAGAUAUUGUCGGCCAGGGGCGGUGGCUCACACCUGUAAUCCCAGCACUUUUGGAGGCCGAGGUGGGAGGAUCACUUGAGGUUAGGAGUUCAAGACCAGCCUGGCCAACAUAGUGAAACCCCAUCUCUACUAAAAAUACAAAAAUUAGGCAGGCAUGGUGGUGUGUGCCUGUAAUCCCAGCUACUCAGGAGGCUGAGGUAGGAGAAUUGCUUGAACCUGGCAGGGCAGAGGUUGCAGCAAGCCGAGAUCACGCCACUGCUCUCCAGCCUGGGUGAGACUGUCUCAAAAAAAAAAAAAAAAAAGAAAGAAAGUAAGAAAAAGAAGAAAUCCCAAUCUCUUCUUUUAUGUGGAUUCUUCCUCACUUGAAUAAUACUUUUCUUCCCCAGUAUUCUCCAUAUUAUCCCAGAGUCAGCCCCUCUGUUUUUGUAAAGAUCUACGUAACCUCCUCUAAGUUUCCCAGUUCUCCUCACCUAUCAUAUCAUUUGGCUCAACAAAGGGCAGGAAGCUAGAUUCUAAUUGAUAUUUUGAGGCCGGGAGCAGUGGCUCAUGCCUGUAAUCACAGCACUUUGGGAGGCUGAGGCGGGCAGAUCACUGGAGGUCAGGAGUUCGAGACCAGCCUGGCCAAUAUGGUGAAACCUCGUCUCUACUAAAAAUACAAAAAAUUAGCCAGGCUUGGUGGCUUGUACCUGUAAUCCCAGCUACUCAGGAGGCUGAGGCAGGAGAAUAGCUUAAACCUGGGAGGAAGAGGUUGCAGUGAGCCGAGAUUGCUCAAUUGCACCCCAGCCUGGGUGACAGAGCAAAACUCCAUCUCAAAAACAAACAAACGAACAAACCUGAUAUUUUCAAAAUUGAGGCAAUUAUAACAGCUAUUUAGCCAAGCAUUAUGAUAGCAAUAAUAGCAAGAAAAUAAAUUAGUUAACAAAUGAGUCUCAGAAGCCCAAUGAUUUUUAUUUUAUUUUUAUUUUUUGAACUUUUAUUUUAGAAUCAGGGGAUACAUGUGCAGGUUUGUUACCCGGGUAUAUUGCAUGAUGCUGAGUUUUGGAGUAUGCAUGAAUCCAACCUGUCAUCCAGGUAGUGAGUAUAGUACCCAACAGAUAGUUUUUUUAACAUUUACUUCACUCCCUUCCCCAAUCUUGUAUUCCCCUGUGUCUACUGUUCCCAUUUUUAUGACUGUGCCAACAAUAAUUUUUUUUCUUUUUUCUUUAAAUAGAGAUGGGGGUCUCUAUUUAAAGAGCCUCCCAAAGUGCUAGGAUUACAGGUGUGAUCCAUUGCACCUGGCCCAUGCCAACAAUAUUUGAAACCCUUAUCUGCGUGUACAAGUUUGCUACUGGUUUUGUUUUGCUCAUUAAUACAUCCCAAGCAUCUAUACCUGGCUUGUAGUACCAGCAUGUAGUAGGUGCUUAAUAAAUAUUUAUUGAAUAAAUAAAUUAGUUUGACAUUAGUUUAACAUCUCAAGUAAAACAAAAUACCAUUCAAUUAAUUCUCUUCUUCUACUUUUUUCUUUUAAGAGAGACAAAUAGUCACACAUACAUCAGCAGGAGAGGAUACAAUUUCCUGUGUUUAAGUUUUUAUGAGUUACUUUAGUUCAAAUGUCACAGAAAAUUAUAUUGAACUCUUGACCAAUCUAUCUAUUUUUUCCAUUGGAGUAUUGACCCAAAUAAGAAAUAGCAUAAAGGAAAAAUUAUUUUUUGGCAGAAAAAUAUUCUCUCUAAAUUCUUGUGUGUUUUGUUUUGAUUUUUUCCUUAGUGACUGGAGGCCAGUUUCAAUCCACUGAAGCACAGAUUCCAAAUUUUCAAUCUGGUUUUCUUGAGUAGUGACUGAGUGCCAAAAAUGAAGCAAUGACACAACAUCACCAUCAAGACACUCCCCAGCACGCACACACAUGCCAGAGUCCAACACCAAGAUACUCCCCAGCACGCACACACACGCCAGAGUCCAGGCCAUAUUCGGGUGGCUUGCAAGCUUCUUCCCCCCAAGUAUUUACUCUCAAAAUAAUGGUUUUUGUUUUGUUUUGGUUUGGUUUGGUUUGUUUUUUUCCAAAUACAUUUCUUCCCUAUAUCUUUAACCAAUUCUCAUAAAAUUUUGUCUAAUACACUGGUCAGUGUAUUCCAGACCCUAAAAGAUAACAUAAUGAAACUAUCUAUGACUAAAAGGUAAUCAGGAUCUUCUACUUAUCCUUUUUUCCUCCCUCUUAAACUUUAAUUUUGAUACAUUUGGGAGUGAAAUGAUGACAAUAAAUGCAAAGUAAUUAUUGAAGAAACAGUAAUUUUGUAUUAGCUUACUGAAAAAAAAAAAAAAGAUAACCAAAUAUAUUUUGGCAGCCCCAAACGAGUCACAUGUGAAAUGCAGUGGGAGAGCAGUGUCCUGAAGGAAAAGGUGGCCUGCUGGACAGCCAAGAGAACAAACAUCCACUGCAAGUAAUAUGAGCUCUAAGUUUGGACUAGGCCUAUGUCUGCUCUGAGACUUGGGGCAAUUCACUUAAUCAGAGCCUUAAUCAGCUACGGACUAGCAAUAUCCAUACCCGCUACUUAUUUUGUAAAUCUCCUUUCUAAAGUUAACUCUAUUUAUUGUUCCAUAAUCCCAUAAAUUCUAGAAUCUUUUCCUGUUAUAGCCAAGUUGUCUAUCAUUGACAGAGAUAUUCACCUGGUUGUUUUGGCUUCUCUAAUCCUCCUGGUGAGAACACCUCCAAGGGAGCUUUCAGUGGCAUUUAAGGUCACUUGUGCUCUUGGUCCUAGAAACUGCCUUGAUAGUGGUUUUAGCUCACAUGAGGUAAGUCUUUAUUAUAUGCCCAACCUCUUUAUGCAUUACUUCAUUUAAUUGUAUACUAAUCCUUUGUCAUAGGUUAUCAGAGUGUUUGAUUAUAAGUUACAGGAAGAAAAAAAAAAACAAACUCCAAUUGACUAAAACAAUGGGGCAUUUUUUGACUCACAUAACAGAGAGUCUAGAGAGAAGGCACCUUCAGGUUUGGCUGAUGAAUCCUGUAUCUCUGCCUUGUCUCCAGGCCCCCAGGUUCUGCCUCUGUCCUGACAUCCAGUGUUGGAUUCCUCUUCACAUCAACUCCUCUCUGUAGGUUGGGCCAUCAGACCCUACCUCCUUAUUUAUGUUGAGCAAAGGAGAGAGAAUGCCUCUACAAACAAUGAAAAAAGUGAAAAAAAAAAUCUUUCUCCUCCUUAUAACUUUAGUUAGCUUAACUUUAGUCAGUUGCUUAGCUACUAAACAGUAGCUAUUGGGAGGUGGGAAGGAAUACUAUUGUGUAAUCAACUAAGGCUCAUACAGAGGAUUAGGGUUAUCUGAAUUGAUUUGAAUUAAUUAGAAUUUACUCUCAGAGCUGUGGCAAUUCCUUGAACCACACUGAUUGCUAUAAAGUGGAAGAGGAAUAGAUUGAAUUUUGGGGAGUCAACUACAAUGUGUACUACAGGUAAAUACUAUGAAUUUCCAAUUCACAGAUGAGAAAACUGAGGCAUGUGGUGGGAGGGAGGUUAUGUAAUUUGCCCAGUGUCACAGUUGAACCUAGGCAAAGGCCUAUCUCCAGGUCUAAACAAUUCAGUGGCCUCCUGUGUACAUUUCUGUCUCUCCUUUUUUAUCCACUGUGUCACCGAGGCUGGAUUGCAGUGGCUCGAUCAUGGAGAUCAUGGCUUUCUGUAGCCUUGAACUCCUGGGCUCAAGUGAUCCUCCUGCCUCAGCUUCCUGAGUGGCUGGGACUACAGGCUUGACAACACACCCGGCUAUCCCGUGUAUAUUUCUUGAGGGCUUAUGAUAUAUAAGAGAAACUCCAAAAUAAGAGGACGGUGUGCUAAGGGGAAGACCAAAGCACUAUCAAGAGGUAGAUUCAAUCGUACCCCUUCUAUUUACUAGUUGUGUGACUCUUUUGAAAAUGAGAAUAAUAGGCCAGGCUCGGUGGCUCCUGCCUGUAAUCCCAGCACUUUGGGAGGCUGAGGCAGGUAGAUCACCUGAGGUUAGAAGUUCAAGACCAGCCUAGCCAACAUGGCAAAACCCCAUCUCUAUUAAAAAUACAAAAAUUAGCCGGGAAUGGCAGCAUGUGCCUGUAGUUCCGGCUACUCAGGAGGCUGAGGCAGGAGAAUCACUUGAACCCAGGAGGCAGAGGUUGCAGUGAGCCGAGAUUGCGCUACUGCACUUCAGCCUGGGUGACAGCGAGACUCCAUCUCAAAAAAAAAAAAAAAGGAAGAAAAGAAAAGAAAAUGGGAAUAAUAAAACUUACUUACUGGAGCAGUAGCAAAGAUUAAAAUUUAGACCAUGCAGAAGAAUGUUUUUCAAAAUGACAUGACCUGGUAAUAGGAUAGAAAUGCAAAUUCCUGUUACUGCACCAGACCCACCAAAUAAGAAACUCUGGGGAUGGGACCCAGGACUAAGUACUUUAAUAAGCACUCCAGGUGAUUCUAAUGAUUGUUAAAGUUUGAGAACCACUGGUCUAACACAUUGCCUGGUACAUAAGCUCUUAUUUUGUUGUUAUUGUUCUAAGGACAAUGUGUGUAUUGACUUCUAUUUCCAGGAGUUCAUGACUUGGAGAACUAGGGAAAGGAAGACAAAAAUUCUUUAAUGCAGAACGAUACUGAUUGAUAAAUACCUGAAUAUAAUACAGGUUAAAUGUGCUUUGAAGAUUUAUAAAAGGUUGAAUUUAUUUCCAGCAAGAUGACUCUCAGAAGCCUUUAUAGAUUAGAGAAGAAAUGGAAAGGGGUAAAAAUAAUUAGGAACUAUAAAGCAGGGCAGACAAGUUUUCAAUGGUUACUGCCAAUGUGUAUACAGAAAGUUAGCUUGGCCAGGCAAAGUGGCUCAUGCUUGUAAUAUCAGCACUUUGGGAGGCCAAGGCGGGCAGGUCACCUGAGAUCAGGAGUUUGAGACCAGCCUGACCAACAUGGUGAAACUCUAUCUCUACUAAAAAUACACAAUUAGCCCAGCAUGGUAGAGCAUGCCUGUAAUCCCAGCUACUCAGGAGGCUGAGGCAGGAGAAUCGCUUGUACUUGGGAGGCAAAGGCUGCAGUGAGCUGAGAUCGUGCCAUUGCACUCCAUCCUGGGAAACAAGGGUGAAACUCCGUCUCCAGAAAAAAAAAAGUUACCUUGAAAUAUAUCAAUACAAACAAAUAAAUUAGAUAUUUCAUAUUGUACAGGAACAAAACCCAUCAGAAGAUGUCAGAAGAUAAGGAUUUUUGUCCUGAUGCUACACUUACCAGCUGUCCCUCAGUGUUCUACUUCUUAAAAAAAGAGAGAUGGAUAAACAGAGGCAACCCGAGGAUAAAGGCCUUGCUCAGUGUCACACAUUUCAGUCACUAAAUAAGACACAAUGGAUGCCAGUAUUCUCAUCCCCUCACAAAUAAAGAGCCUUCAAGCUCUUGCAGUCAACAAGAACUUUUGGAAUGAUUUCACUGCCUGAAAAGGCAGAUACAUAGGUGACACCCACAAAUAGGAAGAAAAUCAACCUGAACCUGAGUGUGUGGGCUCACUGACUCUAAGCAGUAGAGACAGAAGAAAAAGUUUUAGCAAAGAAGGGUUCUGAAAGAAAAUAAAUAUAGCUCGUUAUCAAGUGCUGUUUUUACACAGUAAAACAUGGGCAAAAUUACUCUUCUUUAAGUAGUAAUUCUUAUCUCUUGAUUAAGUCACCUACUCAUUCAUUUAAUAAAUACAUACUGAUUGUUUUCUAUGUGUUGAGCACUCAUCUCUGUAUUGGAAAUAUAAUAAUGACCAAAGUUGACAAUAGUAAUAACAAUAAUAGCUAAUAUAGCAGGCACUAAUAAUUAUUUGUUGAGUAAUAUGUCAAAAUUCAGUGUGAACAGCAUUCUAUUUGGGGCUGCAUCCACUGACUAUAACACAGCUAAUCUAUCUGAAAUGUUCCAGCUUUGGGCCUCUCUAACAGAAGAAGCUGUUGUUGGGCCUGCCUCUAGUUGGCGAUGCAUCCACCAAUGAGAAUGAAUUUAUGAUCGACCACUCUUCCUGUAAAGGCCGCUGGAACUGACAGCAUUGUGAUUUUCUUUUACUGUUAGUUUUAAAUUACUAGAACCAACUCAAUUACUAGAACGAACUUUACUUCUUUGUUUCCUACUUAUCAAAACAGUAAAAACAACAAGUAAAAGAAAUGCCAUCUUAAUAUUGUUUUGAUGACAAAACAGUAUUCCUUUUAGUUGUGCUUCAAAUGGAAUAAGAUGCAAACAGGCUUGGUAUGGUGGCUCACCCCUGUAAUCCCAGCCCUUUGGGAGGCCAAGGUGGAAGGAUUGCUUGAGGCCAUGAGUUUGAGACCAGCCUGCGCAACAUAGCAAGACCGUGUCUCUACAAAAAAUAAAAAAUUAGCUGAGUGUAGUGGUGUGUGCUUGUGGUCCCAGCUACUUUUGAGGCUGAGGAGGGAGAAUCUCUUGAGCCCAGAAGGUCGAAGUUGCAGUGAGCCGUGAUCGUGCCAUUGCUCUCCAGCUUGGACAACAAAGCAAGACCCUAUGUCAAAAAAUAAAUAAAUAAAAGACAUAAACAUAUCUGAGAUUAACUUUCAGUGGUAAAUUUGUUCCAUAUAUGAUUUUUAAGGUUAAAUGCUUUGGAAGCUUUAAAAACCAUUUCAGCCCUUUUAAAUGCCAACUUACACUGAUGAUGCUCUCAGAUGUUAGGAAAUCUUUUGAGCAGAAAAUGGAAGUGGGGGUGUUGAGGCAGGGAGGAGAGUGAUGCAAUAUUCCUUAGUGUCAUCCUGUGAUUUCACAAUUUGUUUUUCAAUCUGUUUGGACUUUCAAAAGGGAAGACUCUCAUAUGUCAACAAGCCCAUGAACUGAAGCUUAAAACACUGGAAACAACAACUGUAGAGUUUCAAGUAUAUGUACAUUUAUGUAUUCAUGUUCCUUGAUGGGAAUGCUGGCUGGUGUGAAUGUUCAAUCUCCUGAGAAAUGUAAAUUUUUCUCUGACAGAUUUAUUAGCUUGCUGUAUCUGAGCACAUGAGCAAAAACAAUGCCUAAUAAGAAAACUUUCUCUCUCCUUCAAAGUCAAACUUGGGAGAAAUGAAGGGAAAUCGAGUUUUCUUUGCUUGACAGUGUUCAACAUUCUUGUAGUCAGUGUGCUCAUGAAGAUUGCAAACUUUUUUUUUUUUUUAGAGCAGCUAGGACUACAGGCGCGCACCACCACACCCAGCUAAUUUGUGUAUUUUUAGUAGAGAUGGGGUUUUAACUAUGUUGGCCAAGCUUGUCUCAAACUCCUGACCUCAAGUGAUCCAUUCGACAGCUCUUUCUUUUUUUUUUUUUUUUUUGAGACAAAGUCUCGCUCUGUCACCCAGGCUGGAGUGCAGUGGUAUGAUCUCAGCUCACUGCAACCUCCGCCUCCUGGGUUCAAGCAAUUCUCAUGCCUUAGCCUCCCGAAU
rnacentral:lncRNA from 10 species